AAAUUGAAGAGUUUGAUCAUGGCUCAGAUUGAACGCUGGCGGCAGGCCUAACACAUGCAAGUCGAGCGGUAGCACAGAGAGCUUGCUCUCGGGUGACGAGCGGCGGACGGGUGAGUAAUGUCUGGGAAACUGCCUGAUGGAGGGGGAUAACUACUGGAAACGGUAGCUAAUACCGCAUAAUGUCGCAAGACCAAAGUGGGGGACCUUCGGGCCUCAUGCCAUCAGAUGUGCCCAGAUGGGAUUAGCUAGUAGGUGGGGUAACGGCUCACCUAGGCGACGAUCCCUAGCUGGUCUGAGAGGAUGACCAGCCACACUGGAACUGAGACACGGUCCAGACUCCUACGGGAGGCAGCAGUGGGGAAUAUUGCACAAUGGGCGCAAGCCUGAUGCAGCCAUGCCGCGUGUGUGAAGAAGGCCUUCGGGUUGUAAAGCACUUUCAGCGGGGAGGAAGGCGGUAAGGUUAAUAACCUCAUCGAUUGACGUUACCCGCAGAAGAAGCACCGGCUAACUCCGUGCCAGCAGCCGCGGUAAUACGGAGGGUGCAAGCGUUAAUCGGAAUUACUGGGCGUAAAGCGCACGCAGGCGGUCUGUCAAGUCGGAUGUGAAAUCCCCGGGCUCAACCUGGGAACUGCAUUCGAAACUGGCAGGCUAGAGUCUUGUAGAGGGGGGUAGAAUUCCAGGUGUAGCGGUGAAAUGCGUAGAGAUCUGGAGGAAUACCGGUGGCGAAGGCGGCCCCCUGGACAAAGACUGACGCUCAGGUGCGAAAGCGUGGGGAGCAAACAGGAUUAGAUACCCUGGUAGUCCACGCCGUAAACGAUGUCGAUUUGGAGGUUGUGCCCUUGAGGCGUGGCUUCCGGAGCUAACGCGUUAAAUCGACCGCCUGGGGAGUACGGCCGCAAGGUUAAAACUCAAAUGAAUUGACGGGGGCCCGCACAAGCGGUGGAGCAUGUGGUUUAAUUCGAUGCAACGCGAAGAACCUUACCUGGUCUUGACAUCCACAGAACUUUCCAGAGAUGGAUUGGUGCCUUCGGGAACUGUGAGACAGGUGCUGCAUGGCUGUCGUCAGCUCGUGUUGUGAAAUGUUGGGUUAAGUCCCGCAACGAGCGCAACCCUUAUCCUUUGUUGCCAGCGGUCCGGCCGGGAACUCAAAGGAGACUGCCAGUGAUAAACUGGAGGAAGGUGGGGAUGACGUCAAGUCAUCAUGGCCCUUACGACCAGGGCUACACACGUGCUACAAUGGCAUAUACAAAGAGAAGCGACCUCGCGAGAGCAAGCGGACCUCAUAAAGUAUGUCGUAGUCCGGAUUGGAGUCUGCAACUCGACUCCAUGAAGUCGGAAUCGCUAGUAAUCGUAGAUCAGAAUGCUACGGUGAAUACGUUCCCGGGCCUUGUACACACCGCCCGUCACACCAUGGGAGUGGGUUGCAAAAGAAGUAGGUAGCUUAACCUUCGGGAGGGCGCUUACCACUUUGUGAUUCAUGACUGGGGUGAAGUCGUAACAAGGUAACCGUAGGGGAACCUGCGGUUGGAUCACCUCCUUA
rnacentral:rRNA from 1 species